rnacentral:misc_RNA from 1 species
AAUUAUACAUCUCCUGAACUGAAACAGGAGGAAAUCAGGUCACUCAGAUCCAUUUCUGCGGCCAGUGCUCUCCUAUCUCCUCCAUUCCCCUCGUCUCUUCGCCAUGGUCGCCAUCUCCGCUCACCUCAUCGCCACUCUUCCGUCUCUCCCGACACUCCGGCCCUGUCCUCGCCGGCUUCAGCCGAGCGCCUUCGCUACAUCCGAGGCCCCGCACCGAGCCCCCGCCCCCGGCGUCGCCCUCCGUGGCUGCAGGCGUUGCAGCCCUUCCGUAAGAAGAUUUCAUGGGUUUCAGAAUGCAAUAAGCUUUGGGAAGGAGCACAACAGGUGUCACCGUGUUCCUUCUUGUCCUCUGGGUCGUUGGAUCGGUCGUUACCUGGAUUGUGGGCUUGGUCUUUGGCGCUGCGAAAUCUUAGAAGGUGGAUGUUUUCGCUGCAAGAUCAUUCCUUCUGCUGCGUUGCACGAAUGGGCGACCAACAGGGAGCUGCCACACAUGGACGUCACUGUAGCAGAAACCUUCCGCUGAGCUCUGGAGCGGAAGAAGAGAGAAAUGUGCACAGAGCAAGCCCGGAGUGUCAGGACGCCAAAACAGUUUCCAUGGCACUGCUCAUGAAUCAGACCACCCCAAUCCAUUCGUGCCAUCGCUGUCGUCACGACUCACGAGCGAGCGUGAUCGCGUCUAACGGCCCGAAUCAUCAAGCGCUGGCAGUCACGGGAGAAAUAAAAACUCGCCCGCCCAUCCGGCAGGCCGUCAGUCCGGCUGCCAGGCGCGCCAGCGCGGUGGACCAGCGCGCGGCCGAUGCAGUCAUGCAGACCCCCCGCGUCCGGCAACGUCGCGCGGGCGCGGCACGUGAGAUCCACACCGCACCCGCGCUCCCCAACGGCUAUAUUCGACCCGUCCCCACCAAAACCCCCCGCAUUUAAAUCCGCCGCGAUCUCCCGCCGCUCUCCCCCCCGCAUCCCAUGCCCACCACCACUCGACCAAGGCACCCAGCCCUCCUUCCCUCAGCGCUUGCCGGCCGACGCACUGCUUGGUGCCUGUCUGCCUUUCUCCUUCCAUUGACAGCCGUCGAUGGCGACGCCGCCUCAGCAGAAGCAGCAGCCGCAGCAGGUGUCGGUGCAGCACGUGGGCAGGGCGUCCUCGGACGAGCUCCUCCGCAAGUUCGCGGACCCGGACGCGCCCCGCGCCGCCGCCACCCCGCCGCGCCGCAGCCUCAAGCGCUCGUCCCGCCGCGUGGCGUCGGGGCUCUCCGCGCGGGACUCCGACGCGUCGGCGGCCGCGGGCGUCACGGCCGCGGCGCUGGCGGCGCCCAAGCGGCGGCGGAGCAUCGGCGGGUCCACCGGCCUGCUCCUGCCGACCGCGUCCGCGAGGAAGGCCCGGGCACGCCGCGCGCGCGCCGACGACGCCGCGGGCAUCGGCCUCCUCCUGGCCGCGCUGGAGCGGACGUGGAGGAAGACGGUGGCGGGGGCGUCCAAGAUGUUCGUGGAGAGGCACCGGACCAACCACGUCCUGCUCAUCAGCGACAUGGUCUGAGCGCAGACCCUGCUGGCGCUCCCUCUCUCGUCUGCUCGGGUUUGAUCGCUGAGAUGUUGUUUUAUUCGGUUGGAUUCAGCAUUCGUUUUAGAAGCAGGUAGCAGAAUAAAUCGGCUGGCGCCUGGCGGUGCAGUCCAGGUUCCUCGUUCCCUCCCUGCCACUUGCCACUGUGAUUUCCCUUGUGUUUCGUUUGUGAUUUCUUUUUUUUUUGGGUUCUCUCUCUCUCUCUCUCUGGUGGCGAAUCAUUGUGCCAGCGACCACGUUGUAAAUUGAAGUUUGCAAACCACGUUACCAGCGUUGUGCUAAGAAAUGGAUUUACACCAUUCAUCAGUGUGCUGUUUUAUACUCUGUUGUGGUUUGCAAUUUGUUAAUUAUUGGGCUUGGAUCUUAAACCAGAUACUGGGCCUCGUGGGCUCAGUCCACAUACUGUGAUCUUGCAUUUCGGUUUUGUCCUGGACCUGGACUACCCAGGUAAAGGCCUGCAGCCGUUUCCUCUGUUGUUGGCUAGUACUUACGAAACUUUGUAU